GCCGAAGUGGUGGAAUGGUAGACACGAAUGCCUUAGGAGCAUUUACCUUAGAGUGUGUGGGUUCGAGUCCCACCUUCGGUA
rnacentral:tRNA from 1 species